UCCCGUUUAAAAAAAAAAAUAAAAUAGAGUCUAUUUGACAUAGCAAUGGAAGGAGUGAAAAGGGGAAAAAAAGAGCAGAGAUAGGGGAAGGAGAGAGGGAGGAAACUAAGCAUGUCCCUAAUCUCUCUCCUGAUCUCUACUAAGCUGCUAUUGCUUUCUUUUGCCCAAACCCACAACACUGGAAGAGAGCAAGAAGAACACUUGCGGCUAUUGGGGUUGAAGCAGCAAUUGCUAUCAUAUUUGCUACCUUUACAACUAAAGUUAAGUUUUCUCCUCCUCCAUUUAUCCUCCAUAAAUGAGACUUGCUGGCUUUGAUUUGUGGUGUCCUAAUAAGGGUAACUGGCUAAAUUGCAUAGCAAAUGAAUUAAGUAUUGUAAUUCCUACUUGGUAAAAUAAAUGGUUGAAUUGGUUUAACUCUUCACUUUUAAAUGUUUGUUCUUUACACAGUACUCCUCUAAUGAGUUUCAAUGCUUUGGUGACAGUGAUUGGGGUGAAUUUCCAGAUGGUUGUCGAUCCACAAAUAGUAGAUAUGCAAAAUUUUUAGACAAGAAAUUGAUUUCUUGGGCAUCCAAGAAACAAUCUGAUAUUAUGCAUUUCUCAACAAAAAGAAUCGCCUAGUAGAGAAAUUCCAUUGACGAGUUAAUGCGAGUUUCUUUCUUCCUAGCCCACUAUAUUAUAGUAUGAAAAUAUUGACGCCAUUCAUUUAACUUCAAAUCCAGUGUUUCCAUCUAAGAAUUAAGCACAUCAAAUUAGAUUACCAUUUUGCUCAUGAAUUAAUUGCUUGGAAAAUGGUGGCCCGUUUGAUCCAUAAAGCAGCACAGUCAUUUCUGCUCGAGCACAAGUCUAGAUGGUAGCCUCACCUUGUCUUUCUUCAAAGCUAGUAGAAUCCUAAAGAAGAGAGCUGUUAUAUACGGUGCAUUUUGGAAAAGAAGUUGGGUAUUGCUUUUGAAGGUGAGGAGAAUCUUCUUGUAACUAAUCUUGCUGAACACAUGUAUAGAAAUGUUCAAAUAUGCAAUACUAUUGCUUGAGCGUCA